AGCCAGGGGUUUCCUUGUGGGCUCAUCAUACGGGGAUUGGGGUGCUUUCCCUGUAGAGAGAGUCAGAGAGACAUGUGUUCCC